ACGGGAGGCAGCAGGUAAGAAUAUUCCGCAAUGGACGAAAGUCUGACGGAGCGACGCCGCGUGUAUGAUGAAGGUCGAAAGAUUGUAAAAUACUUUUUUGUGCGAGGAAUAAUGGGCAGUGAUGUUCAGAUGACGGUAACACAAGAAUAAGCAACGGCUAAUUACGUGCCAGCAGCCGCGGUAAUACGCAAGUUGCGAGCGUUGUUCGGAAUUAUUGGGCGUAAAGGGCGUGCAGGCGGUCAGGUAAGCUUGGUGUGAAUCCCGUGGCUCAACCACGGAACUGCAUUGAGAACUGCUUGGCUGGAGUUAGUGAAGGGGAACCGGAAUUCCAGGUGUAGGGGUGAAAUCUGUAGAUAUCUGGAAGAACACCAAUGGCGAAGGCAGGUUUCUGGCACAUAACUGACGCUGAGGCGCGAAGGUGCGGGGAGCAAACAGGAUUAGAUACCCUGGUA
rnacentral:rRNA from 1 species